CGAGAACCUCGCUGACGCUAGGGUUGAGUAUUCCUACAUCAACUGGAGGACGCUCAGAUGGCGGGGUAACUCUGUUCUCUCCUCCUUCAGUGCCAUUGAUCUUAAAGGAAGUUAUUUGUCUGAUUCAAACACCAUUGCUAUAAUGACUGGGAUUUUGUUGCCGCCUCUAUUUAAAAAGUCGUAUCCAAUGUA